UACGGAGGGUGCAAGCGUUAAUCGGAAUUACUGGGCGUAAAGCGCACGCAGGUGGCUGAGUCAGUCGAUUGUGAAAGCCCUGGGCUUAACCUGGGAAUUGCAGUCGAUACUACUCAGCUAGAGUAUGGGAGAGGGUAGUGGAAUUCCCGGUGUAGCGGUGAAAUGCGUAGAUAUCGGGAGGAACAUCAGUGGCGAAGGCGGUCGACUGGGCCAGUACUGACGCUGAGGCGCGACAGCGUGGGGAGCAAACAGG
rnacentral:rRNA from 1 species